AUAUUGGCCGGGUGCGGUGGCUCAUGCCUGUAAUCCCAGCACUUUGGGAGGCCAAGGCGGGUAGAUCACUUGAGGUUGGGAGUUCGAGACCAUCCUGACCAACGUGGAGAAACCCUGUCACUACUAAAAAUACAAAAUUAGCCGGGCGUGGUGGCGCAUGCCGGUCAUCCUAGCUACUCAGGAGGCUGAGGCAGGAGAAUCGCUUGAACCCAGGAGGCGAGGUUGCAGUGAGCCGAGGUCAUGCCAUUGCACUCUAGCCUGGGCAACAAGAGUGAAACUCCAACUCAAAAAAAAAAAAAAGAAAAAAAAGAGACAAUAUCAAUAUCAACCUAGGAAGUGCUGGGCAUUGUCUUGGCUCUGAUAAUACAUCAGCAAACAAGACAGAAACGCCUGCGUCCUUAUGAACGUGUUAUUUUAUAAGACUCUCCAGCCCUCAUCCCUUCCCCAGUGCAGACUUUGUGGGAACCGAAGGCCCCGUAGCUCUCUUCCUGUGCAGCUGCUGAAGGCAUUUCCAGAGCAACAGGUCUUCCAGGGGCACUCCCAGCUUAAGGGGAUGACGAGACCUCACAUUUGGGAAUCAGGACCUCAUUCAAUCACGCAGUCAUUUCUCAGUCAGUGGACUCCUGUGGGCCAGCACUGUGCGGGGAGCUACCCUCUCAGAAAGCUCCUUGCUGAGCGGAGAGAAAGCUGAACUCACCCAUAAAGACCACAAGCUUCAGCCCAGAAUCAGGGUUUCCAAUCCUUUCCCCUAAUUUGCUUUCUUCCUCCCUGCUGUAAAUCAGGAAGAGAGGGCUCGACGAGAGGAGGAGGAGAACAGGAGGAAGGCUGAGGAUGAGGCCCGGAAGAAGAAGGCUUUGUCCAACAUGAUGCAUUUUGGGGGUUACAUCCAGAAGCAGGCCCAGACAGAGCGGAAAAGUGGGAAGAGGCAGACUGAGCGGGAAAAGAAGAAGAAGAUUCUGGCCGAGAGGAGGAAGGUGCUGGCCAUCGACCACCUGAAUGAAGAUCAGCUGAGGGAGAAGGCCAAGGAGCUGUGGCAGAGCAUCUAUAACUUGGAGGCAGAGAAGUUCGACCUGCAGGAGAAGUUCAAGCAGCAGAAAUAUGAGGUGGGCCGCCAUGCUGUCCCCGCCCAGCAUCUCCAUCUCACACUCCUCCUGGUUCACUGGGUCCCGUAAUACUGCCGCAGGUCCCUGGGUCCCUGUCCCUAUUCCCCAACAGCCCCCUUCAGCUCCUGCAUCUGCCCCUGCUGCCUGGCUUUCAGCAGUGUUCCAUGUCCACCGCAUUGACGACUGCUUGCUGGAAGUGUCUGAGAGCUCGCUGGGGCUGAGCAGAGACACUUUCCUGGUGUUCCAACCCUGGGGGUCUCCAACACGUCGAGGCAGCAGCUCAGUGAUCUGAGCUGGUUACAAGGACCAGGAUGCACCAAGCCAGGACCCCCAGUGGAAGGGAAGGGCUGCCAACAGAGAGGUGCUUCUCCCCACAUACACCCAAGGCCCUGGUGUGGGCACAAUUAGGCUGAGCCUCAAGCCCACAGUCUUUUGGGGUCCUAUGUGCACUAAUGAGGGUCUUAGGCGAACAGACACCAGGCAAGGAAAUGGCUUAGAGGACACUGAUGCUGCAUACCGGAGCUUAGACCUGGGUGCCAGUCCUUCCUUACCCACCACCCCCCAGCCCCGGUCCCAGGGCCUCUUUGCUACCUAAGGGAAGAAUUCAGCUUCCCCUGGAAGGUCUCCUUUGCUGCUCCUGCCAAACCACUCCUCCCUGGGCAAGAAGCCCCUCGCUGGGCAGGCUCAGGCUGCAGUGGCUACAGGGUACUCCCACCUCCCAAUACGGAGAGAGGCUGUAUUGCCUGGUGACAAUGGCAUGGACUUUGGAGCCAUAAUGCCUGGGUUGAAUUUCUACCUGUGCCCCUCACUGGCUGUGUGAUGUUGGAUCAAUGUUCUCCGAAACAGGAUCAACGAUAACCAGAAAGUCUCCAAGACUCGCGGGAAGGCUAAAGUCACCGGGCGCUGGAAAUAGAGCCCAGCCUCCUUCACCAAAGAUCUGCUCCUCACUCGCACCUGCCUCCGGCCUGCACUCCCCCAGUUCCCGGGCCCUCCUGGGCACCCCAGGCAGCUCCUGUUUGGAAAUGGGGAGCUGGCCUAGGUGGGAGCCACCACUCCUGCCUGCCCCCACACCCACUCCACACCAGUAAUAAAAAGCCACCACACACUGACUGGCA
rnacentral:sRNA from 1 species